rnacentral:rRNA from 1 species
AUGUACGUUCCGGGCAUCUUCCCAUUGGGGUGCACCCCGCGGUACCUCUUCCUCUUCCCCGGCGACGACCGCGACCCUGCCACGGGCUGCCUCCGGCGGUUGAACGACCUUUUCCUUGUCCACAACCGCAUGCUGAAAGCCAAGCUCGAGGAGCUCCGCCGCGACCACCCCGGCGUGUCCAUCACCUACGUCAACACCUACGACGACGUGCUCACCCUCAUCGCCAAGCCGGCGGAGAACGGGUUCGGCGCGGAGACGGUGCUGAAGGCGUGCUACCCCAUCUUGGACGCCCGGGACGGCGGCAGUGCCGUGCCCGGACCCGUCGAGGUACGUGUCAUUCGACGGCCUGCACCUGACCGAGGCGGCGUACAAGAUCAUGGCCAGCGGGAUGCUCGAUGGCCCGUACGCCGCGCCGCCCAUCAUGUCCACAUGCAACCACAACUGCUAGACCUGCGUACAGUACAUAUGCAGGUGAUCAAAUAA